rnacentral:tRNA from 1 species
GGAUAGAGAAGCUUGGUAAUUCGCGAAGUUUAUAAUCUUGAGAUCGCAGGUUCAAGUUCUGUUCCC